rnacentral:rRNA from 1 species
UACGUAGGGGGCUAGCGUUGUCCGGAAUCAUUGGGCGUAAAGAGCGUGUAGGCGGUCCGGUAAGUCCGCUGUGAAAGUCGGGGGCUCAACCCUCGAAUGCCGGUGGAUACUGUCGGGCUAGAGUGCGGGAGAGGCGAGUGGAAUUCCUGGUGUAGCGGUGAAAUGCGCAGAUAUCAGGAGGAACACCUAUUGCGAAGGCAGCUCGCUGGGACGUAACUGACGCUGAGACGCGAAAGCGUGGGGAGCAAACAGG